rnacentral:rRNA from 1 species
CGCGCAGGCGGCUCGUCAAGCCUGACGUGAAAGCCCCCGGCUCAACCGGGGAGGGUCGUCGGGGACUGGCGAGCUUGAGGUCGGCAGGGACUGGUGGAAUUCCCGGUGUAGUGGUGAAAUGCGUAGAGAUCGGGAGGAACACCCGUAGCGAAGGCGGCCAGCUGGGCCGUACCUGACGCUGAGGCGCGAAGGCGUGGGGAGCGAAG